rnacentral:rRNA from 1 species
AGUGAACGCUGGCGGUAGGCCUAACACAUGCAAGUCGAACGGCAGCACAGUAAGAGCUUGCUCUUACGGGUGGCGAGUGGCGGACGGGUGAGGAAUACAUCGGAAUCUACUUUUUCGUGGGGGAUAACGUAGGGAAACAUACGCUAAUACCGCAUACGACCUACGGGUGAAAGCAGGGGAUCUUCGGCCCUUGCGCGAUUGAAUGAGCCGAUGUCGGAUUAGCUAGUUGGCGGGGUAAAGGCCCACCAAGGCGACGAUCCGUAGCUGGUCUGAGAGGAUGAUCAGCCACACUGGAACUGAGACACGGUCCAGACUCCUACGGGAGGCAGCAGUGGGGAAUAUUGGACAAUGGGCGCAAGCCUGAUCCAGCCAUACCGCGUGGGUGAAGAAGGCCUUCGGGUUGUAAAGCCCUUUUGUUGGGAAAGAAAAGCAGCAGGUUAAUACCCCGCUGUUCUGACGGUACCCAAAGAAUAAGCACCGGCUAACUUCGUG